rnacentral:ncRNA from 1 species
UAUAAAUUUCAUGAUUUAAAAAAUUUAUUUUAAAUUUAUUUUACAUAUAAAUUUUAGUGUUAAUUUUUAAUUAUUUAAAUAAUAAUUAAUUACAGGGGGUAGUAAUUAAUAUUAAAAAUUUAAGAAAUUAAGAUUUAGUAAUAUUAAUUUAUUUAAUAACAAAUUUUGUGCCAGCAGUUGCGGUUACACAAAAGUUAAAUUAAAUUUUUUUAGUGAUUAAUAAAUAAAUAUUAAAAUUAAAUUAAAAAUUAUAUUAUUAGGUGAAAUUUUAAUAUAAUUUAUUAUUUAUUUAUUUUUAUUUAAUAUUUAAUAAAUUUUUUUUUAGACUAGGAUUAGAUACCCUAUUAUUUUAAAUUUAAAUUAAAAAUACUAAAAUAGUAUAUAAUUAUUUAUUGAAACUUAAAUGAAUUGGCGGUAUUUUAGUUUAUUUAGAGGAAUCUGUUUAAUAAUUGAUAAUCCACGAAUAAAUUUACUUAAUUUAUUAUUUUGUAUAUCGUUGUUAUAAAAAUAUUUUUUAAUAAUUAAUAAUAUUUUAUAUUUUUUAUAAAAAAUUAAAUCAGAUCAAGAUGCAGAUUAUAAUUAAGAAUAUAAUGGAUUACAAUAAUUUUAGUUAUAUGGAUAUUAAUUUGGAAAAAUUAAUUAAAAGUGGAUUUAAAUGUAAUUUUAUUUAUUUAAAUAAAAUGAUUAAAAAUUAAAAUAUGUACAUAUUGCCCGUCGCUUUCAUAUAUAAAUUGAAAUAAGUCGUAACAAAGUAGGGGUACUGGAAAGUGUUUCUAGAAAGAA